UGUAAAUCCAGAUGCUUGGUGAAGCUGCUCUAGUGUGAGGAAAGCCUCUCCUGUUAGGCCAGGAGCCUGUAAGGCACCAUCAGCACAUAUGAAACCUGCUAUGUAUUAUAAGCAACAGGAAAUAGCACAGAAGCUGCAAGUGCAUUUAGGUCAUUUGGAAGUUGAAUUCUUGUCAUAUCUUUACUUUGCUUAACAUAUCUUCUCCCCUUUAGUUCUUUCUUAUAGUAAUUUGAAGCUGGUGAAUUUACUGGUAUUUUCAGGAGAGCAUAUACGAUUAAAAUAUUUUUCAAUUCAGUAUCAGUUCAAAGAACUUAGCAUCACCUGCCUCUCACCUUUGGUGGGAAGGUAAUGAGCAGCCACUUAGCUCUGUGUGCACAAGGAUGAUGGUCCUGAGUCUCCUGGGAUGGCUAGCUAAAUCUGGAAGUUCCUUAGGAGAUGGAAAGACAUCAGCUCCUCAUGUUCCAUUCAACAGUGAGCACAGGGCGCUCAGUGAACAUGCAUUCGGUUUGUGAGUGUCCCCUGCAGGGACUGGUCUCCUAUUCCCUUUCCAGACCUCAAAGCUGAAUUGUCUGUCUUUCUCUCUGCUCCAGUAGCCUCAGCUAUUGAGUACUAUUGCCUCUGAGAUGCUUCUUUGUUCAUACUACUGGGAUCUUGCCUCCAAAGUUUAGUUGGAAGAAUAGGAGGAAACUGUUGCUUUAAACUGCACACAAAACAAAAGCAAGUGGCUUUGCCUUUCCCUAAAGACAUGGAGAUAGAGAAGUCCGUUUCCG
rnacentral:lncRNA from 1 species